rnacentral:lncRNA from 1 species
CGCCCAAUAAGUAUACUUUCCAGCUAUUAUCCAGUUAACUAGUUGUAUUCUCCUUCCAUAGGAAAGACAUUUCCCACUCCAUCUUGCUAAGAGCGCCUUUAUAGACUGGAUUAGCUUCCAGCACUGUCCAAAUGACUUUUUCUUUCCCGUGAUUGGUAACCCUAGAUAUGUUAUAGGUGGACUUUUAACAGUAUAUCCUAAGAUAUUAUGCAAAGAUUGAUUUUCUGCACAUACUUUUGAGAAGGUGGAGGAGCUCUUGCUCGCAUUUACUUCCAAUCCCGAGAACAAUGACAAUUUCUCAAGCACCGUUUAAAUUGCAUUAAGCGAUUUCGGAUUUGCCUUUGAAAAUAUGAGGAUAUCAUCUGCAUACAUGAGGUGAGAUAUAGAAGUAGCACCAUUCACCUGAUAAGUGUCUAUUUUUUUUGUUCUUUACUCCAUUCUGUAUCAAUCUACUUAGAACAUCCAUAACCAUAUCAAAUAGAAUAGGAGAUAGAGGAUCACCCUGUCUAAUCCCCCUCUGGCUUUUGAAGGGAGGCGUUGGAGUCCCUUCCACCAGCACCUUAAAAGAUGCAGAGGAUAUGCAAUUCCAAAUCAUUUUGCAGAACAUAGGAGAAAAUCCAUACGCUUCAAGGGUGACAAUUAUAACCUCCCAACUGACUGUGUCAAAAGCUUUCUUAAGAUCUAUACUUAAACAACACCUCUUGGGAGUUCUCUUUCUUCCAAAGCCAUGCACCAUUUCAUCCGCUAGAAUGGUAUUAUCCGAGAUGAGUCUUCCUUGAAUGAAAGCUGCUUGGUUUGGAGAGAUGAGUUCACUAGAGACCUUACUGAUCCUAUCUGCCAAUAUUUUUGUCAUUAACUUGUAGAUCAAAUUGACACAUGAUAUUGGCCUGAAAUCCGACAUAUCUGAGGCCGUGUUUGUUUUGGGCACAAGCGUGAUGAAAGUAUGGUUAGCAGACUUCAACAAAGGUUUUCCUUUGAAGAAUUGCUUUACACACUCCAUUACUAGGCCUUUAAGAUCUCCCCAAAAUUUUUUGAAAAAUUCCGAGGUGAAACCAUCCGGCCCAGGAGAUUUCCCCGAAUUAAAGGAGAACAGUGUGACCCUUACCUCUUCCUCUAACGGAGCCUGAAGAAGCCACCUAUUCAUAGUUUCAGAAACCACUCUAGGAAAAAUGUAAUUGCUAGAUAGGAGGGAGUAAAUGGGUAACAACUCAUCUCCCAAUUUUCUUUUAUCUUUCCUCCAAUUUGUACUUAGAGGCAUCAUAUUUCAUUAAUUCAAUGAGAAAAAUAUAAGUUUUGCAAAAAAAAUAUCUAACAAAGAAUUCAUGUUUGGAAUUUCAUAAAGGAAUGACAUAAAACAUAUAGCUAAAUGAUACAAAAAAUGAAACAACAGAACCUCAUCCGUUUUCUUGGAAGUUUGAAUUCAAUUAAUAAUUUGCUAAAUUUAAACAUUUGUGUUAAAUAUAAACUCAGACCAUGUGGUAUGACUAAAAUUCUUCUUUAUCAUGUUUAAAUCAAUAGAUUCAACAUUUAAGAGACCAGCAUAUGUUAUGAACAAACCUGAAGCAUUGCAUAACCUAGGUUAAUAAACAAGAGUUAUAUAAAACAAGUAUGACCCGACAAAUAAAUUGGACCAUGUCAAGAACACCAUGAAUAUAAAUGAAAUAAACUGACAACAUAUGUUUCAGAUGACUUAAACAAGAAAAAGUGAAAUGGAAUGUAAGCCUUUACAGCCUAAUGCCUAUUAUCAAAAAACAGCCAAAGCAUUUCUUUCAAAACUAACCCUCAGAUCUGGUAUUGAGUAUUAAAGAUUUUAGCUUUCCAAGCUCAUAUAUUGGGAUAUGUUGUUUUGUAACAAGUUUUGUUAUAGCAAAGAUUCUUUUCAAGACUUCAAAAGACAAGCAACUACCGUGCUCUUGAUCCACAUCAGUCUCCACCUACCCAACAAAAAAAUAUAGAGAUGAAAAAUUGAAUUUUGAAAUGUGGAAAUUAAAAUUUACAACAUAACAAAUUUACAAGCUUAAAAUGGCAAACAAUAAAUGAAAAUGCAAUUCAUACAAAGCCAAUAGAGGCAUAGACCUAGAUUAUUUUUUGACGAAAUUAAAGUUUUUCAUUAAAAAUGAAGGACAUUACAAGAUAUAUAAGAAAAACAAAAUACGGGGAGAUGAGUAAACUCAUCGACAGUUCGACGCUAUCCUAUAAGGUUAUGAUAUCUAGUAAUAGAGUGAGUACCUAAAUACGCUGCCAGUAGCGUUUCCAAUAAAAACUAUGCAAACUAUGAGGCCACAUACUGGUGGGUGAAUUUCUGGCAUGCUUCUGUGAGGUCUCAUAAUCUAAGCUUACCACAUUUUUUGCAAAGGGUAAAUUUUUAUAUUAAAUUUACACUUGGUAAAAGAUAUGUAAAACAGAAAACUACCUUCUACUCCUAAUCUACAUGUGUACUAUGUGUACGCCACACUUACUUCAGGAGUUGACUUACUACUAAUCCAUGGAGAUAAUAUAAGUAGCUCCUUAAUUCCAGAUCUCUUCUUUAACUGUUCUUAUUCCAGAUCUCUCUUAAUUUCGUUGGCGGAACAGCUGGAUUUCGCUUUCUGGAAAAUAAUGAAUAUUCCAGUUCCCACCCAAUCAAGUCCAGAUAUUAGAUUGGGGGAUCUGACGGAAGCAGCACAAAAGAUUACGCGCUACUCCCCCCCUUGGGGGUUAAUAUGGAAUGCUAUUGGGUGCUUGUCGUGGCAUAUAUGGACGGAAAGAAAUAAAAGGUAUAGGCAGCACAUUAGUAGGCCUCCUGAGGUAGUCCUUAAGGAGGUCAUUAAAGACAUCAGUCUCUCCUUUGAUUCAGUGUAUUACAAGAAUAGCUGUUGUCACCCUUUGGAGACAUCUAUGAUGGAAGUAAGAGAGACCAACCUUCUGAGGCAGCGUAUCUAGUUACUGUAUAACUAGACUACAUAGCUAAUGGGAGAGAGUCAAUGGGCAUUUUGCUCAUUUCUUUUUACUUUUAUUUUUUAUUUCUAUUCUCUAUUUUGUAAACUUGGCAUUAACCUUAUUCUAAUGAAAUUUAAUUGCUUCAAAAAAAAAAAAAAAAAAGUAGCUCCUUAGUCGUCAAUUGUUUAUCUUUACUUAGCCAGGCUGUAUACAUCGCUCAGAUUCUUUCAUCCUUCCAAGCUAGUUCAAAAAUUAUUCUCAGGUCCAAUGGGGGUUUCUCAUAUACUCAGACAUACCUCUUCUUAAAUAUGUGCCAUCAUAGCCAUGUGGUGAAGAGCCCAAAUCACUUUCUUUUUAUCGAAGAUACACUCCAGCUCUAGUAGAUGAAAUAUAAGUAUUGGGUCUUCCCAUCCAAUCUAGACUCCGAACUUGUUGAUUAUCUGACGUAGCUUAAUAUUCUGAGAACAGAACAAUGAGAAGAAGAAGAUAGAAGAUCUUCUGAUCAGUUCAACGAUUAAGUUCUUGGAAUCCACCAAGCUCGAAUGCAAGUAGAAGGUAGAUAGAAAAUAGAAAGAACAACAACCAAGAGGAGAAGAGUAAAGUAAGGGUUGGAAUAAUACCUAAUAGCAUAAAAAACUAAGUUGAUCCUUCCUUGAGGGGUCAAUUGUAUUUAUACUCACAUCAUUGGUAAUAGACAACCCAUAUGAUGUGAGUCAAUUCCUCCUAUAAGGAAGGAGGGAUGGCCCGACCUUGGUCAAGCCAUGUAUGGGCAAAGUCAGCAAUAGUAGGCCCACUCUGGUUUUCAUUAAAAUUCUUAACUCCAACACUUGAAUUAUUCUUAGAAUGCUGAAUGAAGGAAUUAAUACUAUCAUGCACCGCAUCAUCAUCUUUUUUUUUUUUUUUGAAGCAAUUAAAUUUCAUUAGAAUAAGGCUAAUGCCAAGUUUACAAAAUAGAAAAUAGAAAAACAAUAGAAGUAAAAAGAAAUGAGAAAAAUGCUCAUUGACUCUCUCCCAUUAGCUAUGUAGUCAAGUUAUACAGUAACUAGAUACGCUGCCUCAGAAGGUUGGUCUCUCAUACUUCCAUCAUAGAUGUCUCUAAAGGGUGAAAACAACUCUUCUUGUAAUACACUGAAUCAAAGGAGAGACUGAUGUCUUUAAUGACCUUCUUAAGGACUACCUCAGGAGGCCUACUAAUGUGCUGCCUAUACCUUUUAUUUCUUUCCGUCCAUAUAUGCCACGACAAACACCCAAUAGCAUUCCAUAUUAACCCCCAAGGGGGGGAGUGGCGCGUAAUCUUUUGUGUUGCCUCCGUUAGAUCCCCCAAUCUAAUAUCUGGACUUGAUUGGGUAGAAACUGAAAUAUUCAUUAUUUUCCAGAAAGCGAAAUCCAGUUGUUCCGCCAACGAAAUUACGAGAGAUCUGGAAUAAGAACAGUUAAAGAAAAAAUGACUCCUAGUUUCAUCUUCCAGAUUACAUAGUAAGCAAGCAGGAGGUACUUGUACUCUCCAACUUCUUAAUUUCCUGAACGUGUUUAGAUGAUCCCAUUUCACCCUCUACAAGAGAAUAGAGAAUUUUGUCGGCAUCUUCGACCAAAUUCCCUCAGCUAACAUGUCUUUAUGCUUUCUAUCUCUAAUACUUUCCACUAUUCCCCCCAAUUUAUUUAUCGGAGUACCAGAUCUCCACAUAAUCGUACUAUUUGCUCUACAAUCCAAACAUUUAUCCACUAGGCUUCUUUCUGAAACAAAAGCUUUCCAAAAAUGCGAANNNNNNNNNNNNNNNNNNNNNNNNNNNNNNNNNNNNNNNNNNNNNNNNNNNNNNNNNNNNNNNNNNNNNNNNNNNNNNNNNNNNNNNNNNNNNNNNNNNNNNNNNNNNNNNNNNNNNNNNNNNNNNNNNNNNNNNNNNNNNNNNNNNNNNNNNNNNNNNNNNNNNNNNNNNNNNNNNNNNNNNNNNNNNNNNNNNNNNNNNNNNNNNNNNNNNNNNNNNNNNNNNNNNNNNNNNNNNNNNNNNNNNNNNNNNNNNNNNNNNNNNNNNNNNNNNNNNNNNNNNNNNNNNNNNNNNNNNNNNNNNNCUAUUAUCCAGUUAACUAAUUGUAUUCUCCCUCCAUAGGAAAGACAUUUCCCACUCCAUCUUGCUAAGAGCGCCUCUAUAGACUGGAUUAGCUUCCAGCACUGUCCAAAUGACUUUUUCUUUCCCGUGAUUGGUAACCCUAGAUAUGUUAUAGGUAGACUUUUAACAGUAUAUCCUAAGAUAUUAUGCAAAGAUUGAUUUUCUGCACAUACUUUUGAGAAGGUGGAGGAGCUCUUGCUCGCAUUUACUUCCAAUCCCGAGAACAAUGACAAUUUCUCAAGCACCGUUUUAAUUGCAUUAAGCGAUUUCGGAUUUGCCUUUGAAAAUAUGAGGAUAUCAUCCGCAUACAUGAGGUGAGAUAUAGAAGUAGCACCAUUCACCUGAUAAGUGUCUAUUUUUUUUGUUCUUUACUCCAUUCUGUAUCAAUCUACUUAGAACAUCCAUAACCAUAUCAAAUAAAAUAGGAGAUAGAGGAUCACCCUGUCUAAUCCCCCUCUGGCUUUUGAAGGGAGGCGUUGGAGUCCCUUCCACCAGCACCGAAAAAGAUGCAGAGGAUAUGCAAUUUCAAAUCAUUUUGCAGAACAUAGGAGAAAAUCCAUACGCUUCAAGGGUGACAAUUAUAGCCUCCCAACUGACUGUGUCAAAAACUUUCUUAAGAUCUAUACUCAAGCAACACCUCUUGGGAGUUCUCUUUCUUCCAAAGCCAUGCACCAUUUCAUCCGCUAGAAUGGUAUUAUCCAAGAUGAGCCUUCCUUGAAUGAAAGCUGCUUGGUUUGGAGAGAUGAGUUCACUAGAGACCUUACUGAUCCUAUCUGCUAAUAUUUUUGUCAUUAGCUUGUAGAUCAAAUUGACACAUGAUAUCGGCCUGAAAUCCGACAUAUCUAAGGCCGUGUUUGUUUUGGGCACAAGCGUGAUGAAAGUAUGGUUAGCAGACUUCAACAAAGGUUUGCCUUUAAAGAAUUGCCUUACACACUCCAUUACUAGGCCUUUAAGAUCUCCUCAAAAUUUUUUGAAAAAUUCCGAUGUGAAACCAUCCGGCCCAGGGGAUUUCCCCGAAUUAAAGGAGAACAGUGUAGCCCUUACCUCUUCCUCUAACGGAGCCUGAAGCAGCCACCUAUUCAUAGUUUCAGAAACCACUCUAGGAAAAAUGACAGGAACCGCCAACCGUUGGGUGGUUGAAUUACUGAACAAAGUUUUAAAGUACCUAACACUAUUCUCCUGUAAUAGAGCCCUAGAGGUGGUUUGAAUUCCAUUUGUAUUGAGAAUUUUAGAGGUUGAAUUUUUAGAUCUCCUUAGCUUUGUGGCGAUACUAAAGAAUCUGUUGUUUUUGUCUCCUAAUUUUAACCAAGAGACCUUACUCCUUUGUUUCAGAUCUGCCUCCUCUUUUGCCAUAAGCUCCUUUAAUCUUCCCCUUAUUUUUGUACUCUCAUCUUGGAGCGGGAUAGAUAAGGGAUUCUUUUCCAAAGCUUCAACUGAGCUAUUCAGAUCAAUCCUUGCCUGGGCUACCCUCUUCGCUGAAUGCCCUUUUUCUGCUGCCCAUUGUUUAGAAAGUACCUUAACUUCCUUAAGUUUUUGCUGUAACUUAUACAAUCCAGUUCCAUGUAUUUGCUUUGUUAGGCCUGUCUUAACUAUCUCUACAUAUGAGGGAUCCUCCAGCCAAGAGUUAAAUAGCCAAAACGGCUUAGCUCCUUUUUCCACCUGAGAUAAUGUGAUUAGCAUAGCUUUGUGGUCACUGGUUCCAUUGUGAAAUUCCACCCUUGCUUCAGGCCAUCUUCUUUCAUACAUGCUCAAAGUAAAGAAUAAGUAGUCUACUGUUUCUAGCUAAUGAUUUCCUUAUGGAGCGCAUCUGUACACUUUCUAGGAGGAGUGGAGGACCGUUGCUGAUGUUUUCCCUUGUUGGGAGCUUCCUUCAUCUAGCUCUCCAGUCUUCACGUGCAUAUUGAGAACAAAUGGACAACUCCUGUCCAUAUAAAAUAUGCCGUGACGUAGCCCAUACUAAUGAUCUAGAAGGUCGAUGGUUCGAGCCAGUGGUGGAGUCAGGAUUUUCGCAUUGGGGUAGCGUAGCAUAAUUCAUUUGUCGAAGGCGAAUAAUUUUAAGACAUACUUUUUAAUAAUAUAAAAAUUAUUGGUACAAUUUUUUAAAAUUUUGAUAUAUCACUGGUAAGGCCGUGAGGGCAUGAUGUAAGCAAGCAGUAGGGAUUGACGUGAACAACAGAGUCGAGUCAGUCAAUAGAGAUUUAAGAAUUGAGGAUUUCAAUUUUAAACAUUUUAAUAUUAUAUACUAUUUUUUAAACUUUAUAAACAUAUCCCUAUAAUUUAUUAAAUAAAAAUAUACAUAUAUUAUAGGGAAAUUUUUCCCAAUACCCCUUGUGACUAUGUAGCUCCAUCACUGGCUCAAGCCACGACUCUGUGAUGUAGGCACAGUAGACAUGGGACUGGAGCUCAUUUCCAACAUUACAGGCCCACUCUUAUUGAGCUGCAAGGAGAGUGAUGAGGAGAAGACAGGGAUUCAGAAAAACAGGUCGAAGAAGAGAGGAUAAUUUUCUUCGUAGGGUGUAAGAGGAGUAGAAACUUGGAAUCCACCAAGAAUUCUAGGUUUAGAUCUAGAAUUUGGAGAAAAGGAAACUGUAGAAAAAUAGAAAGAACAGAGAGAGAAAAUAAGGCAAUACCUUUGAUUUGAUAAAUAAUUCAAUAAUUGCCUUUCCCUCCUUAGCUUAUUAUAUUUGUACUCACAUCAAUGGUAAUAGGCAACCCAUUUGAUGUGAGUUUAAGGUUCCUUAAGAGGAACGUGGGUUGGCUUGACCAAGGUCAAGCCAACUAGGGUCCACUUGAUUAUUCUCAAUAUCUUCUACUGCAUCAAAGAGUGUAUAAAAGAAGGCUGGAAGAGAGGAAUCAGCGGUUUUGGUUUUCUGAAUUUUAACAAGGUGUUAACCUUUUUCCUUCUCUUUUCUGUUUCUAUUUUCUUCUUGAUUUCUGGUGGAUUCCAGCCUAUUACAAAUUCCAAGCUUCUCGGAAGUUAUAGUUAUUAUGGAGAUCCAAGUGGGCCUCACAUUGUUGAAGAUCAUGCCCAAUAGUGGUUCGACAAAAGUCGGGCCAUUUAUCAUUCUCUCUAGAGGGCUUGUUACUCAUAUCAUGUGAGGCUGUCCACUACCUAUGAUAUGAGUAUAAAUAUGGUGGACCUAAAGAAGGAAGAUAGUUUUUUUCGAUUAUUGUGCAAAGGUAUUUUUUACUAUCUAGUUUACUCUUUUCUUGCAAUUCUAUUCUACCUGUUUAUCCCUCUAUUCUUGGAGUAUUCCAAGAGCUUCUCUCCCUAUUUGAUCUAAAGAAGAUAUUUCAUCUUCUUCUCUCUAUUUCUCAGUUCUUAGAUCUUUGGCUACAUCACUUUUCUAGAUUUUUAUAAAUAAUUUAUCUUUUAUAUAUCUUUUAUUCAUCCAUGAAGACCAUAAAGAGCCCUCAGCUGACAUCAAUCUUCAUGCACGCAUGAACAUGGUAGAGGUCCUCAAGGAGAUCUUGAAUACCUAGUCCACCCUCAUAAGGCAUUAACGUUUAGACCAUAGACCCACAUUAUGGACAAGACACAAAACCCAGCAUAUCAAAAAAACACAGUACAUUUUUAAGAUAAUUAAACACACAUAUCAUUAUACAUACCUUUAAUAUAUUCAUUAACCAUCCAAUAUCAGCUUUAGUCAGGCAAUGAAUAGCCACAGACCACUCCUCUUUUACACUAUGUAACCUUCCUCGAGAAUUGUUGAUAGAGGUCAAAGCAGGAAACAAACUAAAUAAAGUCUCCAUGCAUUUUUCAAUUCUCUGAGUGUAGACAGAAUUGUUAUAAGUUUCAUUAAGGCAUUGUGAUAGACCCUUCCAAAAUGAAACCCGCAUAGACAUUUUCUCGUGUGUUCCAUAAAUAGAGUAUGGAGAAGUCGAGAAAGUGAAGUACUCAAUCAAAUCAUUGCAAAGUUUUUCCCAUCUCCAAGCAGAAAAAACUUUCGACAAACAAUGCAAUUGAUUCAGAAGAGCCAAUUGCAAAUUUAGCUCCAAAGUCCUGAACUUUGCCAAAUCAACUUGAUGAUCCAGGAAUAUCAUAAAUGGUUCAAUAUUUGCAUGGGCUAAAGAUAAAUUCAUACACUCCUCACGAAGUACUCUGCAUGGCUUCAUCAAAAGAAGAUCACCAAUAAAUUGUACUGGUGUAUGGCUCAUACAACGUCUGAUAAUAGGACCCCAGUCAGAAGAAACUGGUAAUCUGGGAGCUUGUCUAAGGCAUGUUAAAACAGAGGCCACAGUUGUAACAUGUGUUGUAACACCUAACUGGAGACAACAAAUAAAAUGAAGUGAAAUGCAGAGGAAAUGUCAUGAACAAUAAAAUACUAACCCCAAUAUAAUGUUCAAUUUAUCAAAUGUAAGAUAACAAUAAUUAAUUUAAAAAAAGACAACAAUAAGUCUUUGCAAUCAAUUCAAGAAUUCAUCUUCUUAAAAAUAAAAUUUAACGAGGAAAUACUGAUCUAAGGCCAAUAAGUCCUUUGUGUUUUCAUAGGAAAGAGCAAGGGUCAUAUUCUUGCUAGAUAGAUUUUUUUGAUAAAGUUAAAAUUUUCAUUAAUUAAAAUAAGUAGUCUGGGCAUAAAACCCGAUUGGAUAAAUAUUGGAAAUGAAAUAAUAAUAGGGACGAUUUCCAAAUAAACAGAACAGGAUCCACAAUAGAACAGUGUAGAGAUGGAUCGAUCAGAUUAUCGAAGCCUUGCAUUAAUUCCUCCCUGUUGGACUCCACCAUAGAUCAAAACAACGGAUAAGAUUCCACCGUCAUGUAGGCCACUACAGAGAACUAAUAGGUCCUUGACUCGAAUUGGUUCGAACCACGGAUUUGGCCCUUUAAUUGGGCUGAAUUAUUCUCGUUGUGGAAUGUCCACUCGCCCACAAUGAGAGUAUAAAAUAAGAGUGAGUACAUGGGAAGCUAAGAUUGGUUUUCUAUUAAUUACAUUGACGUAAUUUCUACUUUCUUCCUACUCUCUUAUCUCCUUUUUUUUCCAAAGCUAGCUCAUCGAAUUGUUCAUCCAGAUUGGGGAUUCCAAUCAUGAGUCUACAUCGGGAAAUGCGAUUUUUUUUUAUCUAGUGAGCUGUGUUUCUUGGAUUUUAAGUCAUGGAAAACUGGCCUACUCCUUUCUCUAUCACAGAAGUAAGGAGUUUCGUGGGAUUAGCGUCAUUCUACAGGAUUAAUAAAGGGAAGUUUGAAUGGUCUACAGAAGCUACAAAGAGUUUUGCACAGUUAGAAUUUUUUCUUUCUUUCAGUACCUGUGUUAGGCUCACUAGAUUUUUCCAAGCUGUUUAAAGUAGAAUGCGAUGCAAGUAUUAAUCGUACAUGAGAAGUCCUGAGUUAGAGUGGCUACACAGUGACAUUUCAUUGAGAAAAACUCUUAGCUAGUUGCAAAAAUUGGACAACUUAUGAUCAGAAAUUAUAUGCUAUAGUGAGAGCUUGCAAGGUAUGUAAACCCUACCUAAUACAAAGAGAAUUUAUGGUGUUAAGAGACUACCUUUCCUUUAAAUAAAUCAAUGGCACAUCUAACACCAACAUAAUGCAUAGUAGAUGGUUUUCUUUUUUUACAAAGAUUUGAAUUCACCAUCAAGCACAGAUCAGGCCAAACCACCAAAGCAAUAAAGUGGCAGAUGCACUUACCAGAAUAAAUUCUGAUGUAGGAUAACAACGUAUAGGUGAACCAAAUUGUGUUCUUGCUUUUGCAAGGAGCACAAUUAUCCUUAACUAAUCCUGCAGGUUCAUCUCAAAGGUGGUCCCCAACCUUAUGAGAUGAAUGUAAAUAAAGGAAUAAAGGGGAGGGGGACAAGAGAGCUAUUUUCUUCUUUUUUCUAUUUUAAGGUAUUCUCUCUCCUCCUUUUUCUCCCGAUUGUUUUUCUUCCUUGCUUAUGUUUCAUUGUUAUUUUCUUUUUUCUUUUCCUCAUUUUGGUGGAAUCCAGUAUUGUUAUUGCAUCAAUUGGAUUUAAUCAAUCCAAGUUCCCAGUAGCCCAUCCUCAUCAGAUCUGCUAUACCAAAUUCACUUCUCACAAUCUUGAGGUUAGAAGUAAUAGCUUUUUACUAUAUAAAAAAAUUAUAUGCAAUUGAUAAAGAUUUUUCUCAGAUUUAGGACCAGAUUGGUGGAUUCCUCUCUGAUCUGUAGAUUGCUCAUAACUCUCUGAUCUGUAGAUUGCUAAUAAUAAUUUAUUUAACUACACUUUUUUAGUCCCACAUCGAUAGAAUUCAAAAAACACAAAAAAGGUUGGUCUAUAAAUAAAGAUUCAUUUUUUCUAAAACAAAUAUAAAGUCUUAAGAGUGGGCGGAGUUAAUAUUAAAAAUAAUAUAGCUCUUUUCAUGGACCAAUGUAUAAAUUUUUGGCAAAAAAAUUUAUAAGGUCUUAAAAUAAAAAAAAAUUUGGCCUUUUUUUAAAUAGACAGUUAAUGGAUUAGACAGUAAGUUGUUCCAAUUAAAUGGGAUUUGACUCACACCAUUGAAUUGCCCAUUUAUCAAUGGUGUGAGUAUAAAAGGAAUGGGCCCAGAAGAAGACAGUAGCAUAUUUUUAAUCAAGGUAUUAUUCCUUUAUUUGUCUUACUCUCUCGUUUCUUCACUUUUGCUUUUUCUUCUUUUUCAUACACUACUAUUGCUCUUGUUCUUGGUGGAUUCCAAGAUAGACAAAUCUAGAUCUGUGAAGAAGCUUCUACCUUCUUCCCCAACCCCUACAUUGUCAUCAUCUCUGAAAAGUAACUGCAUCAGGUGAUAUCAGAGCAAGGUUCGCGGAGCAAUCAACCAGUCAUGGCAGAGAACAACCAUAACCACGUAUCACGUCAGGAGUGGGAGCAGACGAACAAAGCCAUCGCAGAUUUGGCUGCGGCUAUGAGGGAUGGAUUUGGAGACAUCAGGAGGAUGAUGACGACGCGUGAAGAUCCCUCGGAUCAUUCCGAUCGGAGACAACCCCCGGCCGGAGGAGGACCAGAGUCUGAUGUUGCUACUGGCGUCGGAUCAGGUGUUGUAUACCAAAGGAGACCACCUGAGGUUCCUUUGCACACGUAUCAGAGGCGGCAACGGAUCCCAGUUGAGGACGUUCCACCACCGCGACGUUCACCGGAUGGUGAUUGUCGAACUUUUUUUCGCCGGCAAACAGAUCCUCCAGUGAGGACGUAUCAGAGAAGAGGUGGAGGUGCACUAGAACACUAUGAAAACCUACUGUUUGAGGACUUAGAGGAAGAGGAUGAGGAUCAACAGUUCAGAACUUAUUAAAGAGGAGCUAGAUAUCAAAGAAAUAGGAGAGAAUUUAUGGAUGAAAACAAUUUCGAUGAUCAUUUUCAGAGGGGACAGAAUAGAGGUCCGAGUCAUUUCAAGCUGAAGAUGGACAUCCCACAGUUCAACGGGUCCCUACACAUUGAAGAGUUCCUAGAGUGGUUGGCUGAAGUUGAGAGGUUCUUUGACUAUAUGGAUAUAGAAGAAGACCAACAAGUCAAACUAGUGGUGAUCCGAUUUAAGGGAGUAGCCUCCGCGUGGUGGGAGCAAACAGUAGUAAACAGAAGAAGAGCUAACCAAAGACCAGUGCGCACUUGGGACAAGCUCAAGAGGUUGCUGAAACAGAGGUUCUUACCCUUUGAUUUUGAGAGUGUUUUAUUUACUAAGUAUCAUAAUUGCAAUCAGGGAAACAGGUCAGUGGAUGAAUAUGCCAAGGAGUUCCAUAGGCUAUCAUCAGCUAGAAAUAACUUGAGUGAAACAGAGGACCAGUUGGUAGCAAGGUUUGUGCAAGGCCUUAGAUCUAAGUUCCAAGAGAAGUUGAUCUUGCAGCCCCAAUAUUCACUGAUGGAUACAAUCCGGGUGGCAGACUAGCUGGAGAAGAGGACUGAGAAGUAUGCGAAAUUCACUGGUGGGCCUUCAACUAGUAGAUUCCAAUCAAACAAUGAAAAGGGAAUCCUGCCCUUACCUGAGGAAAAAAAAUUCAGCAAUGAAAGCAGUCAAGAUAUGAGAAUUCAGAGACCUGCAGAUCAGAGAAAUACUAAUGUUAAAUGUUAUAGAUGUAAUGAAUGGGGUCACAAGUCAAACACCUGCCCCAAAAGAUCUCAAGUGUAUGUGGCUGAUAAUAAAGGGAAGGGACCAAUGAAGCCAAUGGAUGAAGAUUCAGAUGACCAAUUUGAUGAUGAGGCACAUCCUGAUGAAGGUAACAGAUUAUCUUGCAUUAUUCAUAGAAAUUUCCAUGUUCCACAUUCUGAAUUAGAAAGUCAGAGAAGUAACCUAUUCAGAACAAGGGGAACAAUCAAAGAUAGGGUGUGUGAUAUAAUAAUAGAUAAUGGAAGCACUGAUAAUCUAAUAUCAUGGACAACAGUAAAUAAGUUGGGUCUGCCUGCGGAGAGACACCCUAGACCUUAUAGUGUAUCCUGGAUUCAAAGUGGAGAUUCAGUGACAGUAGAUAAAAGUUGCAAAGUACCACUGUCAAUCGGGAAGAGAUACAAAGGGGAGGUUCAAUGUGAUAUUGUGAAGAUGGAUGCAGCCCAUGUACUGCUGAGCAGACCUUGGCAAUAUGACCAACAUGCACACUACAAUGGGAGGUCUAAUCAGUACAUUAUUAAAGUAGAUGGAAUCAAGUUAGCCCUGUUUCCUCUUCCACCAGAGAAGGCUAAAACCACUGAGAAACCCAACCUGUUGGUGGAGUCACAAAGAAAAUUCAGAAAAAAAUUAAGCAAGACAGAGGAAGGGUUGGCACUGAUCAUUAAAGAAAAUUCAGAAAGUAUAGCUACAUCUGUCCCAAAAGAAGUAUCUGAACUGUUACAGAAGUUUCCAAGUGUAAUCAAUGAAAAAAAUUCAGAACUCCCUCCACACAGGCCAACAGAUCAUAGAGUGGACCUCAUCCCUGGUGCCUCACUUCCAAACCUAGCACACUACAGGUUAAGCCUAGCUGAGACAGAAAUACUGCAGAAACAAGUAGAAACAUUGUUGAAAGAAGGACUCAUAAGAAAUUCCAUUAGUCCUUGUGCUGUCCCAGCCUUGCUAGUGCCAAAAAAAAAUGGGGAUUGGAGAAUGUGCGUGGACAAUAGGGCUAUUAAUAAAAUCACCAUCAAGUAUAGGUUCCCAAUACCUAGACUUGAAGAAUUGUUAGAUGUAUGAGUAGGGGCUGAUUUCCCAACACCUUCUAACAUGUCUGAGGUUAGAAGUUUCUUGGGAAUGGCAUCAUUUUACAGAAGAUUUAUUAGAAAUUUCAGUUCUGUGGCAGUCCCAAUAUCUGAUUGCUUAAAAAAAGGAAAUUUCAAAUGGACUGAUGAAGCACAAGAGGCAUUUCAGAAGUUGAAAAAAAGUCUGCAAGAAGCACCUGUCCUGAAAUUACCUGAUUUCUCCAAGGUAUUUGAAAUAGAAUGUGAUGCAAGCAUCAUGGGAGUGGGGGCAGUACUGAUCCAGGAAGGUCACCCUGUGGCAUUCCAUAGUGAGAAACUGAGUUUGAGUAGAAGAAAUUGGACAACCUAUGAGCAGGAAUUAUAUGCAGUUCUUAAGGCUUGCAAGACAUGAGAGCCCUAUCUGAUUCAGAAUGAGUUUGUGGUACAAACUGACCAUAUGGCCUUGAAACAAAUUAAUAGUUCGAAAAACACCAAUAGAAUGCAUGUCAGAUGGAUGUCCUAUCUUCAGAGGUUUCAUUUCACACUAAAACACAGAUCAGGCCUUAGCAAUAGAGUGGCUGAUGCACUCAGUAGGAAAAAUACACUGCUUACAAUUCUGAGAGUCAAAGUACAGGGCUUUGAAAGGCUGAAAGAUAUGUAUAUAAAUGACAAUGAGUUUAAAAAUCAAUGGGGGGCCUGCUCAAAAGAAAAGGUGGUAGAAAACUUCAAUAUACAGGAAGGUUACCUCUUUUAUAAAAACAAAUUGUGUGUUCCUGAAGAUCCAAUUAGAGAACAUCUAAUUGCUACACUUCAUGCUGGGGGACUGGCUGGACACUUGGGCAGAGAUAAGGUAGUGGCAGAACUUAAAAACAGAUUUUUUUGGGUUAAAAUGAGAGAACAAACAGUGAAGUUUAUUCAAGAGUGCAGAAUCUGUUAAGAAUUCAAAGGGACUAAACAAAAUACUGGUUUGUAUAUGCCACUCUUAGUCCCUAAAGAACCUUGGGUGGGCAUCUCAAUGGACUUCAUCCUUGGGUUACCAAAAACAAAAACAGGGCUAAACUCUAUAUUUGUGGUAGUGGAUAGGUUCUCCAAGAUGGCUCACUUCCUGCCAUGUAAGAAAACUAAUGAUGCAGUCCAUAUAGCACAGAUUUUUUUUAAAGAAAUAGUGAGGCUACAUGGGGUACCUAGAUCUAUAGUGUCUGACAGGGACACAAAAUUCUUGUCCCACUUCUGGAAAAUUUUAUGGGAAAGAUUUGGAACAAAGCUAAACUUCAGUACAACUUGUCACCCCCAAUCUGAUGGACAGACAGAGAUAAUAAACAGAUCUGUAAGCAGCUUAUUGAGAACAUUAGUGGGACAGAAUGAGAAGAAGUGGGAUUCAUACAUCCCACAGGCAGAAUUUGCUUUUAACAGUGGAAUAAACAGGUCUACCAAAGUCAGUCCAUUUUUGGCAGCAUAUGCGUAUAUACCAAAACAGGCUAUUGACAUCUCUGAAAUACCAUCUAGCAACUCAGUGGUAGAGAAUAUAAUAGAGAAAAAUCAGAAAAUCUAUAAAGCAGUGGAAGAGGCUCUUCAACAGUCAAACAUUACAUAUAAAAGAAGGGCAGACAAGAAAAAGAGAGAAAUAGAGUUCUUUGAAAAUGAAUUGGUUAUGAUACACAUUAGCAAAGAUAGGUAUCCAACUGGAACCUAUUCAAAGCUCAAACCAAGAAAUUAUGGUCCUUACAGAAUUUUGAAGAAAAUCAAUGACAAUGCAUACAACAUUGACCUGCCAAAACAGUUUAAUAUAUCAAACAGUUUCAACAUUGCUGAUAUCAGAAAGUACUUUCCACAGUCUGAUUCAAGUGCUCAAUUGAGGACAAUUGGUCCUACAGAAGGGGCGCAUGAUGCAGUCUUAGUUAAUGGAUUAGACAGUAAGUUGUUCCAAUUAAAUGGGAUUUGACUCACACCAUUGAAUUGCCCAUUUAUCAAUGGUGUGAGUAUAAAAGGAAUGGGCCCAGAGGAAGGCAGUAGCAUAUUUUUAAUCAAGGUAUUAUUUUUCUAUUUGUCUUACUCUCUCGUUUCUUCACUUUUGCUUUUUCUUCUUUUCAUACACUACUAUUGCUCUUGUUCUUGGUGGAUUCCAAGAUAGACAAAUCUAGAUCUGUGAAGAAACUUCUACCUUCUUCCCCAACCCCUACAUUGUCAUCAUCUCUGAAGAGUGACUGCAUCAAGAACUAUAGGAGGAACUGCUGCUCACAAUGCAAGGGUGAGAGGCCAACCUCCUGAAGCAAUAUAAUAAGUUACUGUAUCACUAAGUACUACAACUAUAUAGGAGAAUGUCGAUUGGGCUCAGCCCAAUCUCUCCCAAUUUUGUUUUUACUUUUUUCUGUAUUGUAUCUAGGGCAUUUCAUUUUAAUUAAUGAAAUCUUUACUUCUUUCAAAAAAAAUUAUAAUAUAUUAACUUUACAUAGUUACUUUUUUAUUAUAAUCAUGCUUUCCUAUGCGUCCGCGAUUAAGCGGGGCUUAAGCUUUUAUGCGGUUUCAUACCACCCGCAUAAAAUAAAGUAUGCGAUAUUUGGGGUUUUAAUUGAAUCCGGGUCUGGAUUUGAAUCAUUUGAUUAACCCACCCAAAUACCCAUAUAAAAAAGGGUAAAAACCCUAAAUUUUAUUUUCCUUCUCCUCUAAAUUGUAUAAAAACUCACUUUUCUUAGAAGUCAGAACCUUAAAUUAUAUUUGCUUAAAUUGCUUAAAUUAUGUUUUUAGUUGGUACUUUGUUGAGAAUUGGAACUCAUUACUCAUAUGUUUUGAAAUUAGAGGUGUGUACCUCUAAUUAAGUAUUUAUAAUAUUUAUUUUGUAAUAAAUAUCUAGGGUUAUACCACAUGAUGUAUAAUAUAUUUUUUUUAAAUACCAAAAAAAACCCUGCAUAAUUCCGAUUAAGCUAGUAUAUGCAUGUACGCGGAAAUGCCAAUUGCAUAACCCCAUAUACGCAUAGGAAACCUUGAUUAUAAUUACUAUUGUUAUGUUUUAUAUUUUCAUUAUUAAGGGUAUGUUUUGAAUUGCUUAAGUAUGUGAUGCAGCCCUUAUAAGUGCUUGCGUUAAUAAUAGGCUCGAUUCUAAUCGAUCCUUGGACCAAGCCCAAUAAAAUGGCUUGGACUCUCAUGGUAGACUUUCCACUCUUAAACCAUGAGAGUAUAAAUAUGAGUGGACCCCAAAGGAGGAGUUAGUUGAGUUCUAUUUUUAACCAAGGUAUUUCUCAACGUCUUUCUUUCUUUUAUUUCUUUCUUUUAUUUCUUUUAUUUCUUUCUAUUUUCUACCGAUUCCUAUUAUUCUUGCCAUUUUCCACACCACGAUUAUCCUUGGAUUGGGAUAAUCUCACCUACCUCUAUCGAUCUUCAAGGGAGAACAUAAACCCUAGUUCUAUAAUUUACUGUUCCAUUGGUUUGGAACGCAAGUCUGGACAGAUUUCUCUCAUCCAUUGAAUCUGUCUCCUUCAACUGUUCAAGGCCUACAUCAGUAUGUGUCUUGUUGCUUUUGUGUUUAAUUUUUUCUCGUGUUUUACAUGUGUUUUCAGUUGCCUUUAAGGGUGAUAUAAUCCCAAAACAUUGUUGGAUGAAGUUAUGCAAAUUAUAAUUACUGACUUUUCAAUUAGGAUCUUCCAUAACAUUGACACUGUGGCCAAAAUGAGAAAACUGAUUCCAGCAAGAAAUCAUCAUCAGUUCACAGCGGUGUUUCAAGCCAUUAAAACAAGGUUUCCUAAGAAAAAUUCUGAUCUUAAAGACUUCUGACAAAAUAUUAGGUUUCUGUCAGCUAAGGAUGAACUGUAAAUAUUCGAUUGGUAUGUUACAUUAAGAGGGGGAAAACAUAAUUUGAAGAGGUAAAAAGAGAUAUAAUAAAGUAGAUUUAUGCAACCGACUUAAGAGUACGCAAAAUCUUAAAGGAAAGUGGACUAGAAAAUACAAGAAUAAUUUAACAAACCUCAGAACUCUGUAAAUGCAAGAGCCACAAGUAGAGUUUCCACACUAAACUGUCAUCAGAAAAGCUCUGAGAAACAGACUGUGUGUUAACAUCAACUCCCUGCGAGCCAAUUACGCCUUGAUGAUCCUUAGCACGCAAUGCAUCGUAAAGAAAUGAAAUUGCCCAUGCUGCAAAGCUCUGUCGUUGUCGAUCAGUGUGGUCCUUUGCAAUAAUAAACAUUUCUUGAACAAUAGUUGUGCAAAAGGAUUCCAAAGCAUGACUCCGAAGUAUUGGGACAGAUAUAUUAAUUGAUUCCUAUUACAAACAAAAGUUAUAAGCAUGACAAAAGAUUUUUUUUUUGAAGCAAUUAAAUUUCAUUAAAAAAAUAAGGCUGUUGCCCAAUUUACAAAAAUAGAGUAUAGAAAUAAAACAGAAGUAAAAAGAAAUGGACAAGAAGCUCAUUGACUCUCUCUCAUUAGCUAUGUAAUCUAGUUAUAUAGUAACUAGAUACGCUGCCUCAGGAAGUUGGUCUCUCAUACUUCCAUCAUAGAUGUCUCCAAAGAGUGACAACAACUCUUCUUGUAAUACACUGAAUCAAAGGAGAGACUGAUGUCUUUAAUGACCUCCUUAAGGACUACCUCAGGAGGCCUACUAAUGUGCUGUCUAUAUCUUUUAUUUCUUUUCGUCCAUAUAUACCACGACAAGCACCCAAUAGCAUUCCAUAGUAGCACCCAAGGGGGAGAGUGGUGCGUAAUCUUUUGUGCUGCCUCUGUCAGAUUCUCCAAUCUAAUAUCUGAACUGGAUUGGGUGGGAACUGGAAUAUUCAUUAUUUUCCAGAAGGCGAGAUCCAGGUGUUCCGCCAACGGAAUUAAGAGAGAUCUGGAAUAAGAACAGUUAAAGAAAAGAUGACUCAUAGUUUCAUCUUCCAGAUUGCAUAACAAGCAAACAAGAGGUACUUGUACUCUCCAACUUCUCAGCUUCUUGAACAUGAGUAUGACAAAAGAUACCACAGUAUUCUUUUAUUAAAGGUAAAAUUCGAUUAAUAAAAUAGAGGCAGAGCUCAAAAGACGCAUAAUAUAUACAAGUAAAAUAAAGAUAAAGAUUAGUGAGGGAUGGGCAUGCCCAUCGACUCAAAUUAUCACCAGUGAUUAAAUAACUAGUAUUUUGUCACAUGAAGGGUGUCUGAAAGCAAUCUUUUUUAUAGACUUCCCACUUGAAAGAUAAGUUGGUGUUCCUAACUACAUUCUUACAAAUGAUCUGUAGUUGCCUCAGGGUGUGAUUCUUUCAGCCCAUAGAUGCCAGGACAGACUGCCCAAGAUGUUCUGGUGUAAACCCCAACAGGCAAAGUGGUGUGUGUUUUUUGACAUGUAUCAGUAAUAUCUCCAAUGCAAACAUCACAUGAAGGGUGUCUGGAAUUGGCGAGUUUCCUACUUUCUAUAUUUAGUUCCUUGGGAUUUCUAAGAUUACUUUAUCAAAAAAAAAUGAUUGAUCAAACUAAGUUGCGACAAUAAUGUUGUCUUGUCCAGAUAAAAGAAAUGAAGGCAAUGCCCAAAAAAACAAGAGAUAUAAAAAAUAAAAUAAAGGGACUAAGGGAGAUUGGACACCAUCCAAUAUGGUUAUUAUGAUAUCUAGUAAUACCAAGGUUUUUUAGGCGACCAUGCGGUCAUGCGAUGGCCAUGACCGCAUGGUCGCCUAGGCGCUUCAGGCGACGCCUAGGCGGUCGCCUGAAAAUAGGGUAAAUUUUGCAAAUUUACCCUGAACUUAUAUACAUUUGCUAAAAAAUAUGGGUAAUUUUAAAAAAAUAUAUACAUAAAUUUUAAAACCUGAAAUUACUAAUACAAAGUAAUAGACCUAUUAAUCUAAAAUUUAAAAUGUAAAUACAUAGAUUAUAUGACUUCUAUGAAUUUAGGGUUAAAAAGAUGCAAGAAACAAGAAAGAAAAGAGGUUAGGGUUUUUUAAAACCCUCAACCUCUUAUUUAAAUGGGUGGUUGGGCCUUAUAUUUAAAUUAAAAAAAAAAAUUAAAAAAAUAAUAAAACAGACCUAUUGGGUUAGGCGGGUCCGGGUCAGAUCCGACCCGGACCCGCCUAACCCGCUCCAGCGCAUGAAGGCAAACGCCUACAUGUGCUGGAGCGCAUGGUGGCAUAUGCGACGCCUAGGCGUCGCAUGAACAAGCUUGAGUAAUACUGUAAUAGAGUAACUAGACACGCUGCCUCCGGAUUCUGGAUGUUGGUUUCCCAUCUUUGAGGUGUAGCGCUAUUCUUGUAACGCUCUGGUCUGAAGGAAAGAUUGAUAUCCUUAUUGAUUUAUGAUCAUGAUUAUUCAUUUUGACAUAAUCACACGACACAACUUUAUAAGGACAUGGCAUGAUAAAAUCAUAAAUAAAUAAAUUGCUACGUUUGAUAGUGUAUUAUAUCGAAUUAUAAGGUUUAACUAAUAGAAAAAAAUUAAAACAUAGAAGGCAAAUAGUGCCAAAUAGUGCCAAAUAGAUAAAUAGUCAAAAAAAUAGAUAUUGUAUCAUAUUUUCUUGUCUAUCAUGUUUGUGUACACUAUCAUAUGCUCAUGAAUUUUUUUUUUUUUUUGCAAAAAAGAAGAUAUUUUUCAUGAGUAUAAUCUAUUAUAUUAUAUUAUAUUCAAGUUGGAAUAAAGAAACGUGAAUUCUUAAUUCUUAUUGUGCCAGUUCAUGUCAAGCAUUGUCAUGCCAUGUUAAAUUGUGCAAUGUGGUGCUGCUACAAAUGACCAAGCAUAGUUUUAAAUAAUAUUAUAUUGUUUUUAGGAGAGAAACCUUCUGGAUGUAACUGCUCUUUAAAGAUACUGCCUGAGAGAAUGACAUAGUCAGAAGUCCUGCCCCUGCUCCAAAAGCAUUGACAAUUCCAAGCAUUCCAUAGAAUUGAAAGGCAGGUGGAUAAGGACAGGUAUAUAUGCUUCUCAUAACUUCCAAAAAGUUUUUGACAACAUUAAUUUUCAAUGGGUGUACACCAUCAUUAAGAAUAUAAGAGAGAAAUGAUCCAGCUCCAAUACAGGAUGCCAUCAAUAAACUCUGUUGAAAGUUUACACUUAACUUUUCAGACAGAAUCUCAGAAAUCAAAGUGCUAUAACAAUCGAAAAGAGAAUCCAUAUUAUUGUUUAUGAGUUCUGCUCCCUGGCAUACAGCAAGUACAGUUGGCAAUACAAUACAUGAUCCAACAGAUAAAGAAUUCUCAGUAAUUUCAUUACAUAACGGAGAGUUUAUAGAGGAUAUCAGUAUAUCUUUUAUUUUGAGCAACACGUCAGUAGCUCCAAAUCUUUGUAUUGCAAUGACAGAAUCACCUAAUCCUAUAACUAAUCCCGCAACACCCCACACAUCUUCAUCAAUGUUAUCAAGACUUCUAAAAGAACAUUCGGUAUUUUCCUCAUCACCUAUAUGAUCAAUUUCAGAUGGAAAAUUAUCACCAAGAUUUUUAAGUGAAUCAUAUGAAGGACAGAUGUUUAUUAUCAUUAAAGACAAUGUUCGGACAAUUUUUCCAAGUAAUGUUGCUUCAGCUAUCCAGGUAACAUCAAAUUUAGAAUCAUCAUUGACUUUAAUACUUGUAAGAAGAUUUUGACAAGAAAACCCCAAGCCUACUCCAGAGGCCCCCUUUACAAGAUAACUUUUACUACUGCGAAGAACCUGGAAAAGCAAAAAAUAUAUAAAAUGAUUCACAUGAAUAGUAUCUGUUUUCAUGAUACCUAAACAUCUAGAAUAACAAUUGUAUGCAAAUAUUUAAUAUUUAAAAAAAGCAAACAUAAUCCCAUCAAUGAAUGGUAAUUAACUAAUUAUUACUAUCUUAUUUACAAAACUGUGGAAGUGAAAAGUGUAAAAUGAUGAUGUACAUUUAUUAUUUUAGUAAUAAAAAUUAUCAUCUCUUAUAUAGAACUGCAGAAAAAGGAUAACGUGACACAAAAGGGGAAAACAGGAUAAGAAAUUUAUCUACCAAAAUCAAAUCUUGUAGGUGUAUCCAUGUAUGUGUCUCCUUUGGGUACAAAGUGUUUUAAAGAUAGAUGUAAUUAUGUAAAUUUUUAAGAAGACUUAAUAUGCCCAUUCCUUGUGGAUGGAUUUCUCAUAGCAUGUAUACAGUUUUUUGAGGACCACAAAAAAUGUUUCAUGCAAUUGGCAGAUCUUAGUUUAUAUGUGAUAUCUUAAAUAAAAACAGACCAUUCACUAUGUUAAUGAGUGGUUAUAUUAGAAUUACUUUAAUUUGGCUAAUGAUGUAAUUAGUUAGAUUUAAUUUGGACAAGGUUGAGUGCAGACACAACACAAAGACUCAACCUUGUGCUAAUCAGCCGAUUUGCCAAUAAUUCUUCGACUUGAUUUUCUAGAAUCUCAGCUUCUUUGGGACUCAAUCUGUAGCGAGGGAGGGUUUGGUAAUGAUGCUCCUGGAAUUAGGUCUGUUCUGUGAUCAGCAGACCUAACUGGUGGAAGUAUAGCUCUAGUAUUUGACAAUGCAACCUAAAGAAUCCACUAAUGCUUUAGUUUAUCAAACUCUUCCUUAGUCACUAUACCUUCCAUCGCCACUGAUCGAAAGUUCUCCACCCAGUCUAACACCACUUAACCCUAUUUAGUAUUUCGGUGUAUCUAAUAUAUUAAUUAAUAUAAUAAUGCUAAUUAAUAUUACUAAUUACUUAAUAUAUUAUUUAAAACAAGGUCCAUUGUCUCUCACAACAGAGGAGGCAUAGGAUCGGUACUUGGGAACCCCAAACAUGUAGCAUUGACAGGGUGGGUAUAUGUUUGGCCUUGACUCUCCUGAGAAAUACAGAGAAUUUUGUGUGUGUGUGAUCAUAUGCCCUUAGCAAGAUUGUCCUUAAUUCUCUUAGUUCUAAUGGUAUGAAUUAUGAAGCCUUAUGAUUUAUCAGUCAUGCACUCCCUCCUGGAGUCCUGGCCAUAUCAUCCUAUUGAACAUAGCAAACAUUCCCAAAAUAUUUUAUCUGAAAUUAAAGAACAAGAAAGAAACAGAAAAUACGGGAUACACGAAUAAUGCCUGUAGAGUUAGUACUUGAUAGACUAAAAUACUAAAUAAUACCUCUAGAAUUAGUACUUAAGUGAACCGUUAGACCACGUAGAGAUUUUAAAACAAAAUCAAUAUUACUAUAUGACUACUACCUUCAGAAGUCCAUUUAUGACAUCAAACUUUUGUCUUCUAUCUGUUACAUGAAAACAGUUUGAUAAAAGACCCAAAGAGAUGGCAGAUGACCAUUGCCUAUGCUCAUGCUCAUAUUGAAACAACCAUUUUUGAAGAAAAGUUGAUGCUGUAAACACUACCGGUGAUGACUUCACAAUCUAAAGAAAAGUGAGAAAUCAAUUACAAAAGAAUAGUAAUUACUAAACCUGUCUAAAACAAAACCGAACUUAAGUGAACAAAUACCAUAUAAGUGACAGAAACAAAAUCAUUAAAUACAUGCCUUCGGGACAUAAAUACCAUAUAAGUUCCCAAAUAUUUAGAGUUGAAUAUAUAUCAUUGUCAUGUACACAUCCCCAUACUUACCAUACACAAUGCUCCAAUAGCAAGGACUAUGUUUUCAGCAAUCUGGGGAACACAAUUUUCUGCAGCUUUACACAUAAUCUGCACAUAAACUGAAUUCAAAUUACAUAAAACUAUAAAAGCAAUGAUGAUAAGAGCAUCAAUCACCUAUUCUUCAACUGUCUAUAAACCAGCAGGAUUAGAACCAAAUGGGCCACUGGAAUGAGGAGCUGGAUUGACCUGGAUUAUCACUAAUGUAUUAGUGAUAAUCUUAAUUAGCUCUUAAUCAUGGAUAUUUAUCUAAUAUAAGUUCAUACUAUUGAACCUUAUCCUCCUAUAAAGAUAAGGAACGAUUACAGUCCUUAUCUCACUUAUAAUUCUAUCUUCAAAUAGAUAGAAGCAAACUUCAUGUUGAAGUAAGGAAACCAACUGCUGUGAAUGGAAAUCUAUAAAGUACAAACCAUUCUUCAUUAAAAUAAAGACAAUGCCCAAGUUACAUAGAGUAUGAGAAGAGCACCUUUGCUCAUCGAUAUUUACCAUAUCUAUUAAAUGCAGCAAAUUGAAUCCAAGAUCAUAAAGAAAAAUGCUUGUCGGGGUUUACGCUGGACAAGUGGAUGAUGCUAUGAAGUAGAAGUAGGAAUCAUGGACUACAAGAACAAGGGUGCACAUAGUGCAGUUAUGUUUGCAGAUAGGGUGCACAUUGUGUAAUUUAUGGUCCACUGGUUUCAUAAAUUGGAUCCAUGAACUUGUAUAUAAUUGUUAUGUAAUAUUGUAGUUUUUCUAGUUUUUUUUUUUAAACAAUUAAAUUUCAUUAAAAUAAGGGCAAUGCCCAAGUAACAUAGAGUAUAGAAAUCAAGGUUCCGGAUGCGCCUCUGCGCGAUGCGCCACCACCUGGAGCACUUGAGCAUAUGCACGCAGAUGCGCCAGUGGUAUUUUCGUAAAUAUAUAUAAAACUAAAGGAAAUUCAUAUAUUUUUUUAUAUAUCUAAACUAUAUCAAUUAAAUAUUUUAGUUAAAAAUAUAUUGGAUAGAAAAAUUAUUAUAAUACAUAUAUUUAUUAAUUAUUAUAACACCCUAUAAUUCAUUGUAACACCAAGGUUUAAAAACAGGUUAACCACCGGUUAACCAGUAGGGGUAUUUUCGUAAUAAUAUAACUCUUUAAACGGCUAGGGUUUCUUUAAACUUAUAAAAGAGAGGCUUUUAUAAAAAGAAAAUAAUAAAUAAUCCAAGAGGCUUUUAAAAAAUAAUAACGUAAUGGACUGGGCCUUCUUUAAUACAUCUAUAACAUCAAAAAUACUCUAUAAUAAUAAUUUAUUUAACUACACUUUUUUAAUCCCACAUCGAUAGAAUUCAAAAAAUACAAAGAAGGUUGGUCUAUAAAUAAAGAUUCAUUUUGUCUAAAACAAAUAUGAAGUCUUAAGAGUGGGAGGAGCUUAUAUUAAAAAUAAUAUAGUUCUUUUCAUGGACCAAUGUAUAAAUUUUUGGCAUAAAAAUUUAAGGUCUUAAAAUAAUUUUUUUUGGCCUUUUUUUAAAUAAAAGCAAAACCCUGUUUUAAGUUAUUUAAAUAACUUAAAACAGGCCUGGAUUCGGGUCGGAUUUUAUCCGGAUCCGGCUAAGGGAAAUGCGCCAGGCGCAUCUUCCUUCAAGGGCACAUCCCCACAUAUGCGCGCGCAUCCGGAACCUUGAUAGUAAUAAAAAACAGAAGUAAAAAAAAUGAGAAAGAAGCUCAUUGACUCUCUCUCAUUAGCUAUGUAGUCUAGUUAUACAGUAAAUAAUACACUGCCUCAAGAGGUUAGUAUCCCAUACUUCCAUCAUAGAUCUCUCCAAAAGGUGACAACAACUCUUCUUGUAACACUUCAGAUCAAAGGAGAGACUGAUGUCUUUAAUGACCUCCUUAAAGACUACCUCAGGAGGCCUACUAGCGUGUUGUCUGUAUAUUUUAUUUCUUUCCGUCCAUAUAUGCCACAACCAGCACCCAAUAGCAUUUCAUAGUAUCCCCCAAGGGGGAGAGUGGUGCUUAAUCUUUUGCGCAACCUCCGUCAGAUCCCCUGAACUGGAUUGGGUGGGAACUGGAAUAUUCAUUAUUUUCCAAAAGGCGAGAUUCAGGUGCUCAGCCAAAGGAAUUAAGAGAGAUCUGGAAUAAGCAAGCUUUUUCAUGCGACGCCUAGGUGUCACCUAAGUGUCGUAUAUGCCAUCAUGCGGUCCAACGCAUGUAGGCGAUUGCCUUCAUGCGCCGGCCGGGUUAGGCGGAUCCGGUUGGAUCCAUUUACCCAAAUAAAAUAUAAAAAAAAAAAACAUUAUUCCUCCACAUCUGCACAGAUCUGGACCUUAUUCCUCCCACGUCUACAGAUCUGGUCUCCACAUCUGCACAGAUCUGGACCUUAUUCCUCACACGUCUGUAGAUCUGGUGGACGUUCACAGAUCUGCAAUCGCGUUCAUGCAGAUCUGGUGGACGUUUGGAGUAACUUCUGCAAACCCUAGCGUAACUUCUCAAACUCAGAAAUCCCGAUGCAAAUAUAUUAUAUAAUAAAUUUAUUAUAAAUAUUAUAUAUAUGUAUAUAUGUAUUUUAUAAACUUAGGGUAUAUAUUGUAAAAAACUUGAUUUUAUUAUAAAUAUUAUAAAUUCCCACCUGAUUUAUUAUAAAUAGUAUAAAUUUCAGAUAUAUUUCAUAUUAUAAAAGUUGUCUCAAGAGUAUUUAAACAGAUGCAGAUGUAUACUACUUAUAAAUAGUAUAAAACUUAGGGUAUAUAUUGUAAAAUAUAUAUAUUUUAUAAAACUUAGGGUAUAUAUUUAUAAACUUAGGGUAUAUAUUACAGGUAUUUAUGCAAAUAUGUAUAACUUUAGGGUAAAUUCUGCAAAAACCCAAUAUUUAUGCAAAUAUGCGGUCAUGGCCAUCGCUUGACCGCAUGAACGCCUAAAAAAGCUUGGGAAUAAGAACAGUUGAAGAAAAUAUGUUAAAGAGGGUUAAAAAAAUGAAAAAAAGAGACUCAUAUGCAAAGACGUUAAUGAAAUAUAAAAGAAAAAAAUCUAUAAAAUAAGUCAAUGAAUAUGGAUCAAGCUAACUUGUUCGAUGAUAACGGUCUUUUACAUAUUAAAAAUUGAAAACAGAUUCUUUGGGAAGAAGAAGACUAUAUGGGACAUUAGGACCUACACUGGGCCACUGGGCCACUGGCCAUGGAAGUCUUCAUAAGACAUAUGAAAGGAAAGAUGUAACAAGGUGCAUGACGAAUCUCCGUUAGAUGCCAACAUGCUAUUCGGCAUGACUUGGAAAAUAUUUGCUAGUUUUAAAUCCAGACAAGUAUAAGGGACACAUAUUCUCAUCUAUGGAGUUAAUGCAAGAAUCCAUUGGGAAAUUAGUGUCUAAGAAACUAAUAGUAGUUUGCCCCUUCCUUUUAACCAGGGUGUGCACAUAGUGCAGAUGUAGUUUAAAAGUGGAGAAUGCCACUCCUCACCACAGAAGAGGAUAUUGUAUAUAUUUCAUUAUUUCAAUUUUCAUGUAACCUUCUUUUAUUUUUUACAAAAAAAUUAUCAAAAAUAUGUAAAUCACAGUAAACGAGAUGGAAUAUGAUAAACCAAAAGAUAUGCACCUUUAGGAUGCUCAUUGCAACAUUGGAGUGAUGAUCACUUGAGCAAGAAUCUAGAUCUAAAAUGUUUGACACAGAGUUCAUCCAAUUGCUAACAAAAGCUUUCCAAGACUGUAGAGCCAGCAAUGCAAACAUAAUAUUUCUUGAAAGCUGCAGAGAUUCGGCUAUUUCCAGCAAUUUGAUUUGAAAAAUGCCAUUUAUUUUAGGAAUAUCCUGCAAAACAAAAUAUUUAUUAGUUUCCCGUAGAUUUUUGAAACCCAAAUAUAAUAAAUAUAGUUAUUGAAACACUCUGCUACCUUGAAUGUAGACUUAUUCUUUAUUUCUUUCGGAGUAAAUACAAAGAGAGUUGCACCAGGUAAUUCUUUGGCACAGUUAAUUUGUCCUGAACCUGAUGCAGUAGAAGAUAUUAAUGAAGUGAACCAUAGUUGGCUUGACCUUGGUCAAGCCAACCCACGUUCCUCCUAAACAGCCCUACACUCACAUCAAAUGGGUUGCCUAUUUCCAUUGAUGUGAGUAUAAAUAUAAUAGGCCAAGGAUGGGAGGAUUAUUGAAUAUUUUUAUCAAAUCAAGGAAUUACCUUAUUUUUCCUCCUUUGUUCUUACCAUUUCUUUAUUAUUUCCUUUUCCUAAAUUCUAGAUCUUCCCCUAGAAUUCUUGGAGGAUUCCAAGUCUACCGAUUUCCCGAUUGAAGAAGUUCUCGAUUCUUCUCUCAAUCGUCUCUCCCUUAAUCCAGAUCUCUCCUAUAUCAGGUGGUAUCAGAGACAGUGUUGUCAUCGUCUUCAAGGAGUUGUCUGGAUCGUUUAAAAAAAUAAAAUAAAAAUCGCGUUCUGCCGGAUCCUUCCAGAGUCAUCGUCGCCUGGUUCUUCCGUCCGUCUUCUGCCUCGUGCUCUGCGCUUCUGUACAUCGUCCGUCUUCUAUUUUGGCUGCAUUGGUUACGUUUUUUUUUUCCGUCGAUUUCUUCCAUCGUGGUUUCUGGAAACUUUUUCUGUCGAUUUUUUUCCGGUCGUGUUCUUCUUUCUACCGAUUUCAGCCGCUUGCUCUGCCUCGUUCCUUGUGGUUCUGUUGUGCAUUCGAUUUCCGUUCUUGAGGGGUGCACUGUGAACCCUCGUUUAUUGGAAUAAUAGUGUGGUUCCGUUUACAUCACUGUUCUGCACUGUUCCUGUUCUACAUCAGUGAUCUCUAGAGUUUACAUAAUAGAAGGUGGUUCCGUUCUCUACGGAUAUUGUCAUAGUUGAUUUCAGAGUUUUUCUUUUGCGAGGGUGAUCUGUCUGCAACCAUCAGUGAAUCUAGUUGUUGUGUACUUCGAUGAUAUUCUGAUAUUUAGCAAGGCCAAGGAAUCACAUAUAGAGGAGCUAAAGAAAGUGUUAAAACUAUUGGAUGAUAACCACCUCAGAUUGAAUCUGCAAAAGUGUGAAUUCUUAGUGGAUGAAGUACAAUUUUUAGGUUACAUAGUUGGAUCUCAAGGUCUAAAGGUGGAUCCAAAGAAGACAGAAGCACUGGAUAGCUGGUCGUCCCCAUCAAAUUUAACUGAGGUAAGGAGUUUCUUGGCUUAGCAUCAUUUUAUAGAAGGUUUAUCAAGGAUUUCAGCACAGUGGCUGCCCCAAUUUCAAAUUAUCUAAAAAAAGGUACUUUUAUCUGGACUGCCCAAGCAGAAAAGGCUUUUUUAUUGUUAAAAAAAAAUUACAGCAAGCACCAGUUCUUAAGUUACCUGAUUUUUCAAAAGUGUUCGAAGUCGAAUGUGAUGCAAGCAUAAUGGGAAUAGGGGUUGUUCUCACUCAAGAGGGUCACCCAAUAGCCUUCCACAGUGAAAAACUAUCAGCAGGAAGAAGAAACUGGACCACUUAUGAACAGGAGUUAUAUGCAGUUGUAAGAGCUUGCAAAGUGUGGGAACCCUAUCUGUUGCAGAAUGAGUUUGUGAUCAAAACAGACCACAUGGCACUAAAACAAGUUAAUAAUUCAAAAAGCUCCAAUAGAAUGCAUGCCAGAUGGAUUUCUUUUCUUCAAAGAUUUCAUUUCACUUUGAAGCAUAGAACGGAGAAGAGUGACAGAGUGGCAGAUGCUCUUAGCAGAAAAGAUAACUUUUUUUUUUUGAAGCAAUUAAAUUUCAUUAGAAUAAGGCUAAUGCCAAGUUUACAAAAUAGAGAAUAGAAAUAAAAAUAGAAGUAAAAAGAAAUGAGCAAAAUGCUCAUCGACUCUCUCCCAUUAGCUAUGUAGUCUAGUUAUAAAGUAACUAGAUACGCUUCCUCAGAAGGUUGGUCUCCCAUACUUCCAUCAUAGAUAUCUCCAAAGGGUGACAACAGCUCUUCUUGUAAUACACUGAAUCAAAGGAGAGACUAAUGUCUUUAAUGACCUCCUUAAGGACUACCUCAGGAGGCCUACUAAUGUGUUGCCUAUACCUUUUAUUUCUUUCCGUCCAUAUAUGCCACGACAAGCACCCAAUAGCAUUCCAUAUUAACCCCCAAGGGGGGGAGUGGCGCGUAAUCUUUUGUGCUGCUUCCGUCAGAUCCCCCAAUCUAAUAUCUGGACUUGAUUGGGUAGGAACUGGAAUAUUCAUUAUUUUCCAUAAAGCGAAAUCCUGCUGUUCCGCCAACGAAAUUAAGAGAAAUCUGGAAUAAGAACAGUUAAAGAAAAGAUGACUCCUAGUUUCAUCUUCCAGAUUACACAAUAAGCAAGCAGGAGGUACUUGUACUCUCCAAUUUCAUAAUUUCCUGAACGUGUUUAGAUGAUCCCAUUUCACCCUCCACAAGAGAAUAGAGAAUUUUGUUUUGUCGGCAUCUUCGACCAAAUUCCUUCAGCUAACAUGUCUUUAUGCUUUCUAUCUCUAAUACUUUCCACUAUUCCCCCCAAUUUAUUUAUCGGACUACCAGAUCUCCACAUAAUCGUACUAUUCGCUCUACAAUCCAAACAUUUAUCCACUAGGUUUCUUUCUGAAACAAAAGCUUUCCAAAAAUGCGAAUCCACAGUAGGUCUGAUUUGUAUAUCAUUAAACGCCUUUCCUUUAAUAUACCUAGCUUGGAUCCAUUUUACCAGAAUAGAAUCGCUCUUAUCCCAGUACUUUGAAGCUCUUUUAAUAUUGGUUGCAGUGGUGAUAAUAGGAAGGUCUCUAACCCCUAGACCCCCUUCCGACUUGGGAAGGAUCAUUUGGGCCCACGGGAUCCCUUUCCUUCCAUCCCAUAUAAAUCUAUAAGCUAACCUUCUCACCUUCUUAGCCACAGAAUCAGGGAUAGUCAUACCUUGCGCCCAAUAAGUAUACUUUCCAGCUAUUAUCCAGUUAACUAAUUGUAUUCUCCCUCCAUAGGAAAGACAUUUCCCACUCCAUCUUGCUAGGAGCGCGCCUCUAUAGACUGGAUUAGCUUCCAGCACUGUCCAAAUGACUUUUUCUUUCCCGUGAUUGGUAACCCUAGAUAUGUUAUAGGUAGACUUUUAACAGUAUAUCCUAAGAUAUUACGUAAAGAUUGAUUUUCUACACAUACUUUUGAGAAGGUGGAGGAGCUUUUGCUCGCAUUUACUUCCAAUCCCGAGAACAAUGAAAAUUUCUCAAGCACCGUUUUAAUUGCAUUAAGCGAUUUCGGAUUUGCCUUUGAAAAUAUGAGGAUAUCAUCCGCAUACAUGAGGUGAGAUAUAGAAGUAGCACCAUUCACCUGAUAAGUGUCUAUUUUUUUGUUCUUUACUCCAUUCUGUAUCAAUCUACUUAGAACAUCCAUAACUAUAUCAAAUAGAAUAGGAGAUAGAGGAUCACCC